UACGUAGGGUGCGAGCGUUAAUCGGAAUUACUGGGCGUAAAGCGUGCGCCGGCGGCUUUGCAAGACAGAUGUGAAAUCCCCGGGCUCAACCUGGGAACUGCAUUUGUGACUGCAAGGCUAGAGUACGGCAGAGGGGGAUGGAAUUCCGCGUGUAGCAGUGAAAUGCGUAGAUAUGCGGAGGAACACCAAUGGCGAAGGCA
rnacentral:rRNA from 1 species